AAUUUUUGAAAUUUGAAUCCCGGAAAUGUCAUUUCCUGCAUUCUGAGCAUCCAAAUUUGGUCCAAAAUUUAUGCUAACUAUACUUGUAUUUGAAAUAAAUAAAGAAAAAAACGCACAAAAAGUAAAAAAAAAUAACCAUCAUUUAUCAUUACUUAUUAGAGGAGGAUAACAAUGGUCAGGUGUGUGGGGGUGUAUUCCCCCAGAAAAUUUUUGAAAUUUGAAGCAUGGAAAUGCCAUUUUCUGCAUUCUGAGCAUCCAAAUUUGCUCUAUUUGAAGUAAAAGAUGGAAAAAAUGCGCAAAAAGUAAAAAAGAAUAUUAACUGUAAUUUAUCGACUUAUUAGAG
rnacentral:lncRNA from 1 species